AGCGAACGCUGGCGGCAGGCUUAACACAUGCAAGUCGAGCGGGCACUUCGGUGUCAGCGGCAGACGGGUGAGUAACACGUGAGAACGUACCCUUUGGUUCGGAAUAACGCUGGGAAACUAGCGCUAAUACCGGAUACGCCCUUUUGGGGAAAGGCUUGCUGCCGCAGGAUCUGCCCGCGUCUGAUUAGCUAGUUGGUGGGGUAAUGGCAGACCAAGGCGACCAUCAGUAGAUGGUAUGAGAGGAAGAUCAGCCACACUGGGACUAAGACGCGGCCGAGACUCCUACGGGAGGCAGGAGUGGGGGAUAUUGGACAAUGGGCGCAGGCCUGAUCCAGCCAUGACGCGUGAGUGAUGAAGUCAGUAGGGUUGUAAAGCUCAAGUGUCCGGGACGAUAAUGACGGUACCGGAAGAAUAAGCCACGGCUAACUUCGUG
rnacentral:rRNA from 1 species